rnacentral:rRNA from 1 species
GAGCAAGCGUUAUCCGGAAUCAUUGGGCGUAAAGCGCCUGUAGGUUGUAAAUAAGUCUGUUGUUAAAGACUAGGGCUUAACCCUGGGGACCGGUGGAAACUACUAGACUAGAGUAUGAUAGGGGUAGAGGGAAUUUCUAGUGUAGCGGUGAAAUGCGUAGAUAUUAGGAAGAACACCGGUGGCGAAGGCGCUCUACUGGAUCAUUACUGACACUCAGAGGCGAAAGCUAGGGUAGCAAAAGGGAUUAGAUACCCCUGUAGUCCUAGCCGUAAACGAUGGAUACUAGAUGUUGUGUUUUUUAUGCAGUAUCGUAGCUAACGCGUUAAGUAUCCCGCCUGGGGAGUACGCUCGCAAGGGUGAAACUCAAAGGAAUUGACGGGGGCCCGCACAAGCGGUGGAGCAUGUGGUUUAAUUCGAUGCAACGCGAAGAACCUUACCAGGGCUUGACAUACUACAGAUCUUUUUGAGAAAGAAGAGUGCCUUCGGGAAUGUAGAUACAGGUGGUGCAUGGCUGUCGUCAGCUCGUGUCGUGAGAUGUUGGGUUAAGUCCCGCAACGAGCGCAACCCUUAUUUUUAGUUACCAACUUGUUGGGUUCUCUAGAAAGACUGCCGGUGACAAACCGGAGGAAGGUGAGGAUGACGUCAAGUCAGCAUGCCCCUUAUGUCCCGGGCCACACACGUGCUACAAUGGUAAAGACAAAGAGUCGCCAAUUCGCGAGAAUGAGCUAAUCUCAUAAACUUU